CUGAGGGUCUCAGCAUUUAUUUCGCAGUUUCUCCUCUCCGUGAGCGUCUGCCAGGCUCACGGAGAGGAGAAACUGCACCUGGCCCCAA
ensembl:miRNA